rnacentral:tRNA from 1 species
GCGGCCGUAGUCUAAUGGCAGGAUAGGGGACUGUGACUCCCUUGGACCGAGUUCGAUUCUCGGCGGUCGCC